rnacentral:rRNA from 1 species
AUUGAACGCUGGCGGCAUGCUUUACACAUGCAAGUCGAACGGUAACAGGCCGCAAGGUGCUGACGAGUGGCGAACGGGUGAGUAAUGCAUCGGAACGUGCCCAGUCGUGGGGGAUAACGCAGCGAAAGCUGUGCUAAUACCGCAUACGAUCUAUGGAUGAAAGCGGGGGACCGUAAGGCCUCGCGCGAUUGGAGCGGCCGAUGUCAGAUUAGCUAGUUGGUGGGGUAAAGGCCCACCAAGGCGACGAUCUGUAGCUGGUCUGAGAGGACGACCAGCCACACUGGGACUGAGACACGGCCCAGACUCCUACGGGAGGCAGCAGUGGGGAAUUUUGGACAAUGGGCGCAAGCCUGAUCCAGCAAUGCCGCAUGCAGGAAGAAGGCCUUCGGGUUGUAAACUGCUUUUGUACGGAACGAAACGGUCUGGGUUAAUACCCUGGGCUAAUGACGGUACCGUAAGAAUAAGCACCGGCUAACUACGUGCCAGCCGCCGCCGUAA